rnacentral:misc_RNA from 1 species
CGCACAUUGCGCCCUUCGGUAUUCCGUGGGGCAUGCCUGUUCGAGCGUCAUUGACACCCUCAAGCCUUGCUUGGUGUUGGGCGUCUGUCCCGGGUUGCACCCCGCGCGGACUCGCCUUAAAGGUAUUGGCAGCGGACCCUCUGGCCUCCUAAUCGCGCAGCACUGCCCGCGCCGCCUGGAGCCUGCAGGGGACAGCGUCCACGAAGCCUACUUCUCCUAAGUUUGACCUCGGAUCAGGUAGGGAUACCCGCUGAACUUAA